AUCAGCUGGGCCCCCUACACAGAGCUCAACCCUGAAGUCGGUGGACCCACCUCAGCCUCAACAUCGCCCCAAUCCACCACUCCCGCCACGGGCCUCUUCUCUGCCUCCCAGGUUCCCACCACUUUUCCUCCGCCCUGAGAUCCUAGAGAAAUAGAAGACAGGAGAAUCGGCAGUGAGUGUGGAAGGUGGCAGCUUUGGGGCGGUGUCUGAACAGAAGGACCUCCUUUCUCAGCGACCAGGAAGAUGGUGGAGGAGAGAGAGGCUGGGAGGCAACCACAGUCAAGCGGGGGAAAAUUCCUCAAACUAAACCAAAAGAGCAUCUUAAUAUGUGGCUCGGUUUCCGAACGUGUAGCUUGGAUCUUCGCUCUGCAUCUCAAAGAGACCUUUGAGACUAUAUUUACAGACUUUAGCAAGGAAGUCCAAACUAUUUUAACUCUGAGCCAGACUAGAAAAUUCACGGAGAAAUUUUUGACAGAGGAUGUGGAAAAAGCGCUGUAAUAGGAUUUUCAAUGGUGAGUGAAG
rnacentral:lncRNA from 1 species